rnacentral:lncRNA from 1 species
CCUAAAAAGUUGUGUAGAAAAAUGAAAGCUUAUUUGAGAUUAUUAUGUGCUAUAAAUAUUCUGAUCUAUAAGUUCAAUUUUUUUUUCCAUUGGGGAAAAUACAAAUCAGAGUAUCUUGAGUAUUCUUUCUUUAAAAGAGAACAUGGGUUCAAUAAUGGAGACUCACAAAUGGAGGAAUAAGAGAAAUAUGAAGUUUUGCUUUUGCAAACAUACUGAAGUGGAAAAUAGAAAAGCUGAAAUCAACAAUAACAACAACAAAAACGCCACAUCCAUUUGGACUAAAAUACAUGUAUAUAUAACACAACUUUCCAAGCAUAAAACGAAAACUCUCACCAAGGGAAUGAAAAAAAUACCUUUUGAAAAACUGCUGAAAUAGGCCUAUUGUUGAAAUAGUUUUAUUUCCCCUUUAGAAGGUCUAUUUACUACAAUUCUGGGAGUGAGAGGGAUGAUUUUGAAUAAAGAAUAGAGCCAUUUAAGAUGUUGUGCAGAGUACCAGAAUUUAUGAAGACUGGUUUGAAUUAAAACUAAAUGUCACCAGCAAGUAGGAGCCAACAGAAAUCAGCUGCUCUUUGCUGGGUGUCAUUCCUGUCACUGUGAGGACACUGGCAAACCAAAGAGAUUGGUCCUUGUCUUUGGGACUCCUAGAGUUGAGGACAGAUAAUGCAUAGGAAGAAUCAGAGACUGUAACGGAUGCGAUCAACUUGAACAGAUGGGAGAUAUUAAGCACCAAGAGGGUGAAUGAGGAGGUUUCUUACUUCCUGGUCACAAAAUGGCUGCCGAAGUCCAUAAGCUAAAUCCUAAUGUGAGUGAACAUGAUCAAGAAGUUCACAAUUUUAAGGAUUCAUGACUACAACCCCAAAAUACGGCACUUCUGCCUGUGUGGAAACAACAGAAGCAGGAAGAUUACUCUCAUUUUUCUCUGGCCUUUUUCCCUUGAAGCAGACUAUAAAGAAGAAUCUGACCUUCCUCUGAAGGAAACCUUCAUUCCAGACAUACCCUCCCUAUAUCCAAAGAACAUCUUUAUCUUUAAAGACACAGAGAUGUCAAGAAGAAUCUGAACAAACAGGCUUUGCCAGAUCCCCCAGUUUACUAAUAUUGAACCAUACUCUUUUGUUCUUCAAUCAUACUUCUGCAUGAUGUCCAUAAAAAUACACAGUUUUCCCCAUUCCUUUUGGGUAUUUAUUCCCGAAAGCUUCUGUGUCAUGUAAAACUUACA